AAGAUGGCGACCGGCGCACGGGUGAGUAACACGUAUCCAACCUGCCGAUAACUCCGGAAUAGCCUUUCGAAAGAAAGAUUAAUACCGGAUAGUAUACGAAUAUCGCAUGAUAUUUUUAUUAAAGAAUUUCGAUUAUCGAUGGGGAUGCGUUCCAUUAGUUUGUUGGCGGGGUAACGGCCCACCAAGACUACGAUGGAUAGGGGUUCUGAGAGGAAGGUCCCCCACAUUGGAACUGAGACACGGUCCAA
rnacentral:rRNA from 1 species